rnacentral:rRNA from 1 species
CUUGACGACCAUAGAGCAUUGGAACCACCUGAUCCCAUCCCGAACUCAGCAGUGAAACGAUGCAUCGCCGAUGGUAGUNCGCGGCUCUAUUGCAGCCUGUAUCUCAAACCGUCGAGCGUUGGGC